UACGGAGGAUGCGAGCGUUAUCCGGAUUUAUUGGGUUUAAAGGGUGCGCAGGCGGGGAAUUAAGUCAGCGGUGAAAUCUGGAGGCUCAACCUUCAAAUUGCCGUUGAAACUGGUUCUCUUGAGUAUAGAUGAAGUAGGCGGAAUUCGUUGUGUAGCGGUGACAUGCUUAGAUAUAACGAGGAACUCCGAUUGCGUAGGCAGCUUACUAAGCUAUAACUGACGCUCAUGCACGAAAGCGUGGGGAUCAAAC
rnacentral:rRNA from 1 species